CAAGUGUCUUCUUUGUCCUACAGCAAGUGGAGAGAGAAGACAGACAGUCUGAGUGUGUUUGUGUGUGUGACAGAGGGAGAAGUCAGGCUCUUUGAGGAAAGCAGGACAGCUUUUUGGUUGCUUAGUGACCCCAGGCUGUGACACACUGCAGGAACAGCACUUCUUGAAUCAUUCAUGGGACAAGGGUGAGCACACAGGGCAAAGCUCACUGCCACUAACCUGUACAGCAAUCCCUCGCCCCCAGGCCGUCGAAAAACCUCAUGCCACAUGUCAUACGUACAUAACUUUUGCACAGAAAAACAGUAUAGACCUAAUGUGAAGUGGCAGGAGCCUGAGCCAUGGCUUGGGGUGGAGCUGAACUUGAAGCACAGCUCUGGCAGCUCCCAGUGUCCUGCUCCUAGUGUCCUACAGACCAGGGAAACCUGCUACGUGGAACUCAUCCUCAUCCUGCUCCUGUGGAUACCUUCACCGCACCAUCUGUCUCACAGAGGUUAUGUAACAUCCAGGAGAUGUUUUGUGAGAUAGAAUCUACAACGAGAUGGAUUUUGAACAAGGGGGUGGUGGAAAAAGCCUAAGCAGCACUGGAAAGACAUCCGUUGGGUGAGCAGCAACCAGCCCCAUAUGGCUGAGAGGAGAGAGAAUGAGAUGGAGAGACAAGUCGACAGGUAUUUACUGGGCUGCAGUGUGGAGAAAAACAGCAAGAGGAAGACACACAGGGAGGGGGCGAUGACAAGUCUGAAAUGAAGAAAAGUGCCCCAGACCCCCUGGGAACUAUAAUGUUCACAUCAGAGAGAGACUGGCUUGUACUAUGGCCAGAUCCUUCCUGGAGAAAGACCUUCUUACACAACGGCCUUAUUCUGCCCAGAGAGACCAGUAUAUAGAGUACAGUCAGCUCAAGAAGUAUUGGUACCCUUCAUGAAACUGAGCAAAAAUGAGUGAACGAACGAACGAACACACACACACACACACGUCAUAUUUUGGGCUCAAACAUAUGGGGAAACGAUAUACUUUCAACGUGAUAACUUUUCACACGACUGACUGUCACUGUAACAGGGCUGCAAACACCCCAGAGAGAGACCAGCCUGUGGCACAGAUAGACCAACUGCUGAGAGAGACCAGCUUACAACAUGGCUAGAUGUUCUCCUCAAACAUAACAACCAUAUUUACACCAACCGCGCUGCUCUGUUCGACACACACUUCAUCAUUCAAAUUGGAUGUAAAAGAAUUCAGAGGAAAAGGCUAGAGUUGUAACAAAGCCCUUUUGUGUGCAGCGUCCCCCAAGGUGUGCAGACGCCUUUCGGCUACGCAAAACAGGAUGCGCGUCGUCUACGGCUCCGGCUUCUCUGUCUGUGGAAGACACACAGAUCAACGUGUGCUCUUGCCAUUGUAAUGUAAAAACAGGUAAAUCAUUGUGAAGUUGAUUAUCUUACACUAAAAGUUUCC